rnacentral:rRNA from 1 species
GACGAACGCUGGCGGCGUGCUUAACACAUGCAAGUCGAACGGGAACCUUUAUUUCGGUAAAGGUGAGAGUGGCAAACGGGUGAGUAACACGUAGGCAACCUGCCGACAGGAUGGGGACAACAUUCCGAAAGGAAUGCUAAUACCGAAUGGAGUCCGGGGAUGGCAUCAUCCCUGGAUAAGAGAUGGCCUCUGAAUAUGCUAUCGCCUGUCGAUGGGCCUGCGUCUGAUUAGCCAGUUGGCGGGGUAACGGCCCACCAAAGCGACGAUCAGUAGCCGGUCUGAGAGGAUGAACGGCCACAUUGGGACUGAGACACGGCCCAGACUCCUACGUGAGGCAGCAGUGGGGAAUCUUCCGCAAUGGGCGAAAGCCUGAUGGAGCAACGCCGCGUGAGUGAAGAAGGUCUUCGGAUCGUAAAGCUCUGUUGCACGGGACGAAAACCGAGCUUGAGAAUAUUGAGUUUGGGGACG